GUGACACUUUCACACCACAAGAAUUGUUGCCAAUAACGGAAAAAUUAUUAUCUAAAGUUAAAAAUCCGGGAGAAGGAAAAGGCUUUGUGAGCUCUUCCAAGAAUCCUGAACAACUCGCUGAUAAGCUGUUUGAAG